GGCCCUUGCAAUGAAUCCAUAGAAAGUUCUAACACAAAUAACUAUAUCAUAUUUCUGUGAUUCUCACAAUUGAUGAGAUUGGCUCUUUCCAGGUUUCAACUACAGAGUUGAUGUAACAUGAGCUUUUCAUACAGCAAACCCCCAAAUAUUAGAUAAGCCAGAAUCGACAGCAUAGUAAAUUUUGUUACUUUUUUGCCUCUUUUCUUAAAUGAGAGAAAAG
rnacentral:misc_RNA from 1 species